UACGUAGGGGGCAAGCGUUAUCCGGAUUUAUUGGGCGUAAAGAGCGCGUAGGCGGACUGUUAAGCGAGAUGUGAAAUCUGGGGGCUCAACCCGCAGCUUGCAUCUCGAACUGGCAGUCUUGAGUCUGGUAGAGGAAAGUGGAAUUCCCAGUGUAGCGGUGAAAUGCGCAGAUAUUGGGAGGAACACCAGUGGCGAAGGCGGCUCUCUGGGCCACGACUGACGCUGAGGCGCGAAAGCUAGGGGAGCAAACAGG
rnacentral:rRNA from 1 species